UGGAAUACAAAUUCUCUACCCUGGAGAGGGACGCACAAUCCAGACAAGAGCCACGCCCUCUUUCUAUCUCCUUCCUCUCUGACUCCCCUCCCGCCCCCAGAAGAGAAGAGCAGCUGGUCCUGUUGAUAAUAACCCUUCCCCCAGCUUACUUCCCAAUCACGAGUUGGGCAAGGCACUAAGAUGGAGAAUUUACAGAGGAGCCCUAAGUUGAUGCCAAGAACCUCUGACAAGAGUAGAUUCCUGGUUCCUUCAGCGGGAAGAACCACAGCUGUGAAACUUCCCUUUAGGGCAGAGGAAAUCCAGGAAGGGCAAAAUGUAGUGGUGGUGUGUGUGGGCAGAGUGGCUAGUCACCACAUACUUGCUGGCCUCGCUAACUGAAACCGGAGUGAAGACAUCUGCAGCAGAAGCUGUCACAGUGUACAGAGAAUUGAUCGCAUGGCCUUCCUUCCCUCAAAUGGCUUCUACCUCAAGUGGAGAGGUAAGACAGGCCAACACAAUAUGCAAUAGUGAGGACUGAGAUGUUGUGAAGCAAAUAAAAGUAGCUUCUCUCAUUUACACACAUGGGUAUUUGGGAAUUGGGCCUUGGGAUGCGAUGGGUCAAGAAAGGCUGGAUUGAUUCUCAAACCACAAGAAGAUCAGAGACUAGCAGAAGGAGGAUGUUAACUACUUUAUGCAUGGGGGUGGCAGAUAGAGAGAAUUGUGCACACAUAUGCACAUGUGUGUGUGCAUGUGCAGACUUGCCAGUCCACACCAGCACUGUUUAAUAUAAUGCAAGCCACAGAUAUAAUUUAAAAAUUUCUAGUAGCCACAUAAAAAAGUA